rnacentral:lncRNA from 1 species
AUUUUUUCAAAAAGUUGAGAACACCAAGCACCUGUUUCCAUGUCUCAAUCAUAGGAACUUUAAUCUCCAAUUUCUUGAAGAUUUCAAUAAAGCACUUAAACUUCUUUUCUUUCCUAUGAUAUUUCUUUUGAUGAGGAAGAGGUUUUGCAUAUGAUCUUUUCUUCUUUCCUCUCUUCCUCUAUUUCUUAAUCUUCUCCUCCCUCAACUUUCUCUUUUUAGUUUUCCUUGAUUUCUUCUUUUUUAUUUUUGCACUUUUUUUUCUUUUUUUCUUUUCUCUCAACCACUUCUUUUUCUUUCUCCUCAUCUUUCUCUCCCUCACUUAACCUUUCUGUUUCUUUCUCCUCUAUCUUUUCCUCCUCUAUCUUUUCCUUAUUUCUCUCCAUUUUUUUCUCCUCUUUCUUCUCCUUAUUUAUCUCUAUCUCUUUUUCCUCUAUCUUCUCCUCCUUUCUCUCCAUGUUUUUCUCCUCUAUCUUCUCCUCCUUUUUUUCUCCAUGUUUUUCUCCUCUAUCUUCUCCUCCUUUUUCUCCAUUUUUUCUCUUCUAUCUUUUCCUCAUCUCUUUCUAUCUUUUCCUCAUCAACAACAUUAUCACUUUCAGAACUAGUGGCUUGACAUUGCUCCCUAGGGUUAACCUUAAUAUUAACCCUAGAAUUCAAUAUCUCAUUGGAGUGACGAAUCUAUAUCUCCAACCUUUUAUUUCUUGCUUCACUCUCUUCUGAAGAGGAGAGGGUAAUUUGGAUAAGUCGUUCCAAUGUCUCGUCCAAUAUGUUGAUUUGCUUAUUCAAAGAAGAUACAUGUUGCCCUAAUAGUAAUUGUUGAUGUGGUUCUCUUGCUUGUCCAUUCCAACCUUGAUCCAUGAUUAAGUGAGUUUUCCACCAGUAGUUGAAAUCAUUUUGAUAGAAUUGAGUGCCCAUAUAGUCAAAUUCUUGUCCAAAUUGCAUCCUGGAAACAUUAGGCACAAAACCCUAGAAAACAUUUAUUAGAAAAAAAUAAAAAUAAACAUAAAAAAUCAAGUCAAAUUUAAUCAGUUUACACUACUAGAUAAGUUAAACCACGAGUCCCC